UUGCCUCUGAUGAAGCUGGUUCCUUUUACAACAGCAAGCAGGGCACCUCUGCCUGUUCUCAGCCCAGGCUGGGUGAACCAAAUCUGAAUAAGCCUGCUGGGUGGAAAGGUGUGUGCCUACGAACCGGCACCAGCCCUUUGGCCUGAUGUCAGAUCAGUGUGGCCGGAAGCAUAAACUGGGUGAAGCAGAAAGUCCUGGCUACUCAAAGUGGGGCCCUGACCAGCAGCUGGGACCUCCACUCAGAACCUGUGAGAAAUGUAGCAUCUUGAGCUCCACCCCAGAACUACUGAAUCAGAAUCUGCAUUUGAACAAGAUCCCUGGGUAUUCCAAAUGCACAGUUAAGUUCGAAAGCCCCGUUCCAGACACCUGUGAUAUUUAUCAAUUGGGCCUCCCCACCUAGGGCUGGAUUGAUUCCCAAAUGUCUUCAUGAGCGUGGACCUCGCUUCCCUGCUGUGAAUGGUCACACUUGGAG